GGCACGGUGGUUUAGUGGUUAGCACUUAGCACUGUUGCUUUGCAACUGUGGGGCUGGGGGUUCGAAUCCCACCUCUGCCC